GGGGCUGUGGCUCAGUGGCAGAGCGCUUGCCUGGCAUGUGUGAGGUACUGGGUUCAAUCCCAGCACCA
rnacentral:tRNA from 1 species